rnacentral:lncRNA from 1 species
GUCUACCAGUAUUUCAGAAACGCGUUAAAAAACAACAAACAAAUUCCUAAUUGUUUAAAAUAGGCUUGUCACACCUUGUCCUUACAACACAGAGGAAGAGAAUCCCCAGGGGCAGGGGGUGGGGUGGGGGGCUCCCUGCCCAAGUUUACACACAGGCCACAGUCCUUGCCAAGAAGGGGCCCACGGCCAGAGACUGGCUGAAGGCAGGAACAGGCUCCCUGAUCAGGGGACCGGGGCAAGGACCCCCUAGGCUUCUGCACCAGCACUUCCUGCUGUGGACACAGUGGGCUCAUCAGCAGCAAGAAGGCAAGGCCUGGUCCCAAAGACAGAGCCCGCAGGCCAGGGGCUGGGUGAGCCAGAGCAACCUCUAGCCCAUCUGGUC